CUCCCGCCCUCAAUCUUUCCCAGCAUCAGGAUCUUUUCCAGUUAUUACAGGAUAUUGAAUGCAGCUCCCAGUGUUCUACAGCAGCCCAGGAAGGACUUCAGAAGCAGAUGUCUGCAGCUCACCCUGGCCUGCGCAGCCCCAGACUGUCUGAAGAGAGAAGGAUCAGCUCCCUGGGCAUCCUCUGUGACAGCGGACAUGGGGGUGUGCAGCAAGGCUACCUGCCCUAAUUUUAGUGGUGGUGGCGGGGGGGCGGGGGUGGAAAGUUUAGUUACUCCUCCGUGUCUCAACCACCUCAAAUCAUUCUCCUCCCCUCCCAACCUCAUGUUCAUUUGUUCAGCCAGCAACAAAUAUUCAUUGUGGACUGAUUAUCUAUAAAAUAACCAUAUCUAUGGAA